rnacentral:rRNA from 1 species
GACGAACGCUGGCGGCGUGCUUAACACAUGCAAGUCGAACGGAAAGGCCCUGCUUUUGUGGGGUGCUCGAGUGGCGAACGGGUGAGUAACACGUGAGUAACCUGCCCUUGACUUUGGGAUAACUUCAGGAAACUGGGGCUAAUACCGGAUAGGAGCUCCUGCUGCAUGGUGGGGGUUGGAAAGUUUCGGCGGUUGGGGAUGGACUCGCGGCUUAUCAGCUUGUUGGUGGGGUAGUGGCUUACCAAGGCUUUGACGGGUAGCCGGCCUGAGAGGGUGACCGGCCACAUUGGGACUGAGAUACGGACCAGACGCCUACGGGAGGCAGCAGUGGGGAAUAUUGCACAAUGGGCGGAAGCCUGAUGCAGCAACGCAGCGUGCGGGAUGACGGCCUUCGGGUUGUAAACCGCUUUCGCCUGUGACGAAGCGUGAGUGACGGUAAUGGGUAAAGAAGCACCGGCUAACUACGUG